CGCAAGCCUGACGGAGCAACGCCGCGUGUGGGAAGAAGGCCUUUGGGCUGUAAACCGCUUUUCUCAGGGAAGAAGUUCUGACGGUACCUGAGGAAUCAGCCUCGGCUAACUCCGUGCCAGCAGCCGCGGUAAUACGGAGGAGGCAAGCGUUAUUCGGAAUUAUUGGGCGUAAAGCGUCCGCAGGGGGUCUUCCAAGUCUGCUGUCAAAGCCCGGGGCUCAACCCCGACGCGGCAGUGGAAACUGGGAGGCUAGAGUACGGCAGGGGUAGAGGGAAUUCCCAGUGUAGCGGUGAAAUGCGUAGAUAUUGGGAAGAACACCGGUGGCGAAAGCGCUCUGCUGGGCCGUGACUGACCCUGAGGGACGAAAGCUAGGGGAGCG
rnacentral:rRNA from 1 species